rnacentral:tRNA from 1 species
CGCCGGACCGCAAAAAUUGUCAAAAUCUUUCCUAAGAUAACCAGGCAUGAACCGCGCCAGUCCUAGCGCUAACAAAACCAUUAUCUUAGGAAAAAAACAGCUAACUUUUUGAAAAUUAAAUAUUAUGCAAGGGAUUUAAAAUCCCUCGGCGUUCGCGCUGUGUGGGUUCAAGUCCCACUCCGGCUACCA